GACGAACGCUGGCGGCGUGCUUAACACAUGCAAGUCGUACGGUAAGGCCCUUUCGGGGGUACACGAGUGGCGAACGGGUGAGUAACACGUGAGUAACCUGCCCACAACUUUGGGAUAACGCUAGGAAACUGGUGCUAAUACUGGAUAUGUGCUCCUGCUGCAUGGUGGGGGUUGGAAAGCUCCGGCGGUUGUGGAUGGACUCGCGGCCUAUCAGCUUGUUGGUGGGGUAGUGGCCUACCAAGGCGGCGACGGGUAGCCGGCCUGCGAGGGUGACCGGCCACAUUGGGACUGAGAUACGGCCCAGACUCCUACGGGAGGCAGCAGGGGGGAAUAUUGCACAAUGGGCGCAAGCCUGAUGCAGCAACGCCGCGUGCGGGAUGACGGCCUUCGGGUUGUAAACCGCUUUCAGCAGGGACGAAGCUUUUUGUGACGGUACCUGCAGAAGAAGCACCGGCUAACUACGUG
rnacentral:rRNA from 1 species